GACAGAGGAUGCAAGCGUUAUCCGGAAUCACUGGGCGUAAAGCGUCUGUAGGUUGUUUAAAAAGUCUGCAGUUAAAGGUUGAAGCUUAACUUCAAAAAUGCCGUAGAAACUUUUAAACUAAGAGGAUGGUAGGGGUAGUAAGGGAAUUUCCGAUGUGGAGGCGGUGGAAAAUUGUGUAGAUAUUGGAAAGACCACCGAUGGCGAAGGCAACUCUACUGGGCCAUGACUGACACUGAGAGACGAAAGCUAGGGGAGCAAAUGGG
rnacentral:rRNA from 1 species